GACGGAGGGUGCAAGCGUUGUUCGGAUUGACUGGGCGUAAAGGGCGUGUAGGCGGUCGGUCAAGUCUGGUGUGAAAGCCCGGGGCUCAGCUCCGGAAGUGCAUCGGAAACUAGCUGGCUGGAGCGCGAUAGAGGAGGGCGGAAUUCCUGGUGUAGCGGUGAAAUGCGCAGAUAUCAGGAGGAACACCGGUGGCGAAGGCGGGUCUCUGGGCAACAACUGACGCUGAGGAGCGAAAGCGUGGGGAGCGAACAGG
rnacentral:rRNA from 1 species